rnacentral:rRNA from 1 species
UACAGAGGGUGCAAGCGUUGUUCGGAAUUAUUGGGCGUAAAGGGCGCGUAGGCGGUGCCACAAGUCACCUGUGAAAUCUCCGGGCUUAACUCGGAGCCUGCAGGCGAAACUGUGGUGCUGGAGUGUGGGGAGAGGUGCGUGGAAUUCCCGGUGUAGCGGUGAAAUGGACGUAGAUAUCGGGAGGAACGACCUGUGGCGGAAAGCGGCGCACUGGACCAUAACUGACGCUGGAUGCGCGAAAGCUAGGGGAGCAAACGG